GUUUAACUCUUUCGGCAGCCAUUUAAACUCAAUUCAAGGAUUUUUCACUGAAGUGGCUGAGGAGUGCUCACAUGCUGUGUGCUGCCGACUCAGUGGUGCGGGUGGUAGUCUUGAGCCGCAGGAGCGGUACAAGUGACUAGAGGCAAGAAAAGAAAAGACAUGGCAAUAUCUUAAAUCUCACCUCUUGAGACAUUUUUACUGAUCAUGACCUGACUUAUGGUGAACUGCAAAACUACAAAAAAACAGAAAAAGCUCUGGGUCAAGCCCAAGGGUUACCCUGUAUAUGCUUAUCUUCCUCUAGUUAUGUUCUCUCUUCUGUGUUAUCCUAGUAACAGCAAGGAUUAAUGGCACAAGAGAAUUGAGUCAGCCUCCACGAAUGGGGAGGAAUGUCAUAUAAUAUUCGUUAUAUUGAAAGUCCAGACCAGUCUAAGGCCCCUACUUCGGAUCAACUCAUUAUCCCGAAUAAACGAUGUGUCAUUCCCAUUAUUUAUGUUUCACUGCAGCCAAAGUAUCUGGACCUCGUUUUGGCUGAUAUAAAUUUCCAGUGA
rnacentral:lncRNA from 1 species